GACGAACGCUGGCGGCGUGCUUAACACAUGCAAGUCGAACGGGAAGGCCCUUCGGGGUACACGAGUGGCGAACGGGUGAGUAACACGUGGGUGAUGUGCCCUGCACUUCGGGAUAAGCCUGGGAAACUGGCUCUAAUACCGGAUAGGACCACUGCCCGCAUGGGAGGCGGUGGAAAGCUUUUGCGGUGUGGGUUGGGCCCGCGGCCUAUCAGCUUGUUGGUGGGGUGAUGGCCUACCAAGGCGACGACGGGUAGCCGGCGUGAGAGGGUGCCCGGCCACACUGGGACUGAGAUACGGCCCAGACUCCUACGGGAGGCAGCAGUGGGGAAUAUUGCACAAUGGGCGCAAGCCUGAUGCAGCGACGCCGCGUGAGGGAUGACGGCCUUCGGGUUGUAAACCUCUUUCAGCACCGACGAAGCGCAAGUGACGGUAGGUGCAGAAGAAGGACCGGCCAACUACGUGCCAGCAGCCGCCGUAA
rnacentral:rRNA from 1 species